rnacentral:rRNA from 1 species
CUUUGCUGGCGACCGGCGCACGGGUGAGUAACACGUAUCCAACCUGCCCUUUACUCGGGGAUAGCCUUUCGAAAGAAAGAUUAAUACCCGAUGGCAUAAUGAUUCCGCAUGGUUUCAUUAUUAAAGGAUUCCGGUAAAGGAUGGGGAUGCGUUCCAUUAGGUUGUUGGUGAGGUAACGGCUCACCAAGCCUUCGAUGGAUAGGGGUUCUGAGAGGAAGGUCCCCCACAUUGGAACUGAGACACGGUCCAAACUCCUACGGGAGGCAGCAUG